UUUAAGGAUACGUUCGUUGGGUAGGGGAGCGUUCUGUAAGCCUGUGAAGGUGUGUCGUGAGGCAUGCUGGAGGUAUCAGAAGUGCGAAUGCUGACAUAAGUAACGAUAAAGCGGGUGAAAAGCCCGCUCGCCGGAAGACCAAGGGUUCCUGUCCAACGUUAAUCGGGGCAGGGUGAGUCGACCCCUAAGGCGAGGCCGAAAGGCGUAGUCGAUGGGAAACGGGUUAAUAUUCCCGUACUUGGUGUUACUGCGAAGGGGGGACGGAGAAGGCUAUGUUGGCCGGGCGACGGUUGUCCCGGUUUAAGCGUGUAGGUGUGUGUUCCAGGUAAAUCCGGUUCACUUUAACACUGAGGCGUGACGACGAGGCACUACGGUGCUGAAGCAACAAAUGCCCUGCUUCCAGGAAAAGCCUCUAAGCAUCAGGUAACAUCAAAUCGUACCCCAAACCGACACAGGUGGUCAGGUAGAGAAUACCAAGGCGCUUGAGAGAACUCGGGUGAAGGAACUAGGCAAAAUGGUGCCGUAACUUCGGGAGAAGGCACGCUGACACGUAGGUGAAGUGAUUUACUCAUGGAGCUGAAGUCAGUCGAAGAUACCAGCUGGCUGCAACUGUUUAUUAAAAACACAGCACUGUGCAAACACGAAAGUGGACGUAUACGGUGUGACGCCUGCCCGGUGCCGGAAGGUUAAUUGAUGGGGUCAGCGCAAGCGAAGCUCCUGAUCGAAGCCCCGGUAAACGGCGGCCGUAACUAUAACGGUCCUAAGGUAGCGAAAUUCCUUGUCGGGUAAGUUCCGACCUGCACGAAUGGCGUAAUGAUGGCCAGGCUGUCUCCACCCGAGACUCAGUGAAAUUGAACUCGCUGUGAAGAUGCAGUGUACCCGCGGCAAGACGGAAAGACCCCGUGAACCUUUACUAUAGCUUGACACUGAACAUUGAGCCUUGAUGUGUAGGAUAGGUGGGAGGCUUUGAAGUGUGGACGCCAGUCUGCAUGGAGCCGACCUUGAAAUACCACCCUUUAAUGUUUGAUGUUCUAACGUGGACCCGUGAUCCGGGUUGCGGACAGUGUCUGGUGGGUAGUUUGACUGGGGCGGUCUCCUCCUAAAGAGUAACGGAGGAGCACGAAGGUUGGCUAAUCCUGGUCGGACAUCAGGAGGUUAGUGCAAUGGCAUAAGCCAGCUUGACUGCGAGCGUGACGGCGCGAGCAGGUGCGAAAGCAGGUCAUAGUGAUCCGGUGGUUCUGAAUGGAAGGGCCAUCGCUCAACGGAUAAAAGGUACUCCGGGGAUAACAGGCUGAUACCGCCCAAGAGUUCAUAUCGACGGCGGUGUUUGGCACCUCGAUGUCGGCUCAUCACAUCCUGGGGCUGAAGUAGGUCCCAAGGGUAUGGCUGUUCGCCAUUUAAAGUGGUACGCGAGCUGGGUUUAGAACGUCGUGAGACAGUUCGGUCCCUAUCUGCCGUGGGCGCUGGAGAACUGAGGGGGGCUGCUCCUAGUACGAGAGGACCGGAGUGGACGCAUCACUGGUGUUCGGGUUGUCAUGCCAAUGGCACUGCCCGGUAGCUAAAUGCGGAAGAGAUAAGUGCUGAAAGCAUCUAAGCACGAAACUUGCCCCGAGAUGAGUUCUCCCUGAGACUUAGAGUCUCCUGAAGGAACGUUGAAGACGACGACGUUGAUAGGCCGGGUGUGUAAGCGCAGCGAUGCGUUGAGCUAACCGGUACUAAUGAACCGUGAGGCUUAACCUUACAACGCCGAAG
rnacentral:rRNA from 1 species